GACGAACGCUGGCGGCGUGCUUAACACAUGCAAGUCGAACGCUGAAGCUCAGCUUUUGUUGGGUGGAUGAGUGGCGAACGGGUGAGUAACACGUGAGUAACCUGCCCCCUUCUUUGGGAUAACGCCCGGAAACGGGUGCUAAUACUGGAUAUUCACUGGUCUUCGCAUGGGGGUUGGUGGAAAGGGUUUUUCUGGUGGGGGAUGGGCUCGCGGCCUAUCAGCUUGUUGGUGGGGUGAUGGCCUACCAAGGCUUUGACGGGUAGCCGGCCUGAGAGGGUGACCGGUCACAUUGGGACUGAGAUACGGCCCAGACUCCUACGGGAGGCAGCAGUGGGGAAUAUUGCACAAUGGGCGCAAGCCUGAUGCAGCGACGCCGCGUGAGGGAUGGAGGCCUUCGGGUUGUGAACCUCUUUCGCUCAUGGUCAAGCCGCAACAAUGGUUGUGGUGAGGGUAGUGGGUAAAGAAGCGCCGGCUGACUACGUG
rnacentral:rRNA from 1 species